rnacentral:rRNA from 1 species
GUUUAAGGCCAUAUCACGAGAAAAUCACCAUUUAGCGUCGGAUCACCUAAGUUGUGUAACGUUCAGUCUAGUUAGUACUUAGAUGGGUGAUUGCAAGGGAAAUCUAGAUGCUGUAAGCA